GUCCAGGGGCGGGAAUCGAACCCACACCCUUCUGCUUACCGGGCAGGUGCCUUGGCCACUCGGCUACCCUGGA
rnacentral:tRNA from 1 species